rnacentral:lncRNA from 1 species
UUACUUGAUGUCUCCAGAUGACCCUUUCAAAAUUCCAUAGUCUUCCUUCAGCUUUCAGGAUUGUGGCAGGUUUGGGGCACAUCUGAUAAGCAGAGGCAAUACAUCUGUGAGUAAUUAUCUUCUGUUAUUAGAAACAUCUUUCCCUCACUAUGCUCUAGAGGGUAUUUGGGCAUCUACAGGAUUGUCCCCAGGUAAACAAUACAUGCUCUGCCUUUUCUUUUUUCUUAAAGAAUUAAUAUAAAAUCAUCUAGGUAUAUAAAUGAAAAUUACCACUGUAUCUAAACGUUCUUUACAUCACACGGUGGUGCUCUUGGAGAAACUAAUAAAAAUGUGACAUUACAAAUGUGAGGUACAAUAUACACUACACCUAAACUCUGAAAAAAAUAUAGGCUCUAAACUGAUAUAUAAUGAAAAUGUACAUAAUUUCUAUCAAAUUUGGGUAGUUCUUAUGAUUCCAGCUUUUUAUCCUGUUCUUGACAUAUCUUGCAAGGAACUUACUCGGUCUUUUUUUUCUCAGAAUUAUGAAAUCUGAAAUUUGUAGUAGAUCGUUUGUCUGAGAAUGCAAAAUGUGAUGUAUUUUGUUUCUUUCGGAUUCCAAUUUAUUAUAGUUUGAUAUCAAGUGUUCUCUGAUAGAAUUAGAAUCAAACUUCAUUUCCCAUUGUGUUGUAGAGGAAAACAGCUGGUAGAAUGAGUCCUCAAAAAUCUGUGUAGUUUAUAUAUAUUAUAUUGCUUUUUACAUGAGUGAUCAUAAGAGCGUAAUUGUAAUACUCUUUACAAUGACGGUUUGAAAUAAAAAUUGAAAAUUAUUGUAGUUUUGAUUAAAUAUUUUUCCUCUCUCACCUUAGAAAAACAGACACAUUUUCCCCUACCCCAAACUAUUCACUUAUUUCCUUUCAGGUUUCCUCUUGGCUUUGGUAUACAGUAAGUAUAUGACAGAAAAUCAUAUCGCUCAGCUAUAAUAUUAUUUUUAUUUUCAAAUCCACUUUCCAUUGUUCCUCAGGAGUAAUAUUGGAAAAGGGAUAUAAUUUUUUAAAGGAAAUUAACAUAUUAUUAAGGGUAGAUAACACCAGUCUCAUAGAGCCCCACUGCUUGCUGAAAUCAUAAAAAUAAUAACUAUAUUUUCUCUUAAAGUAUUCUGUUCUAUGAACUGUAUAUAAAAUACAGUGUUAGUUGCUUCAGGCCCAUGAGAUCUAAAAUACUUACAGUGUUUGCAUAAAUGAUGACAUUAUAAGAAUCAUUUCUGUUUUAAGAUUGCUAUUUUAAAAAGAACAACAACAUAGAUGUGGUUGCUAUUACUUGUUCUGCUGUUUUGGUGAGAAACUGUAUUUUUAGAUUGAAAAAAUUUGACUUUUGACCAUAGCAAGUUGAAAAUGGGAGCUGGGCUUUAAUAAAAAUAUUCACAUGCCAUGUCAAAUCACCUAAUUUAAAGCAUAGCUUUUGAGUUAGAGUCGCCCAUUGAUGACUAGAGUAUUUUCUGAGUGGGAAUUAGUGACCUGUGAGUUUACAACAAGGUGUCAUAUUAUUUGAGUUCUGGAAGUAAAGUCAGUAAUCAAGGUCCUGUUGUAUUUACAGUGGCUUGAGACUUUU